GUCAGAUCUCAGGCAGAGAUUGGAAACAGGAAGCUUAGUGUGUGUCAUGCACUCACGCCCCCACAUAUGCACACAUGGACACACACACACCCUGUCUCCAUUGUUAUGGGCGGAGAAACGGAUGAUCCAAGGGAGGGCGAUGGUAGGGAGCUGGAGUCCUCUGGGCUCACCUGUACACAGGAUGGGGAGAUGGAGCGUGUGAUGAGGACAUUGGACAGGAAUGUGGGGAAGAUGUUUAAGGCACUGGAAGACAAAACCCUGAGCAUUGUAAUUCUGCCAGGAUGCAGGAGGGGCAGUGUGGAAUAUUCUGGUCUCUGUUUCAUUGAGGUGAAGCAGGUGUGAGUGGAGUCUCACCCAGUGCUGCUGUUAUUCACCUCUCAGAAAGGUCAGAUGACACAUUUUCCCGGGCUGUCUUGAGGGCUGCCAUGGUAACGAAGAAUGCAUGGAAGGCCUUCCUUUAGAUGUUUGUUUUUAAAUGAGGAUGAUUUUACUAAUGACACUUUGUUUACUGUCUUGGACCAAAUACCCCACAAAAUAAGAUUACAUCCAGAGCAGCUCCAAGUUCAUGUUUUACUAUCAAAGUUAAAGACAUUGUAAUGCAUUUGUUACCUUUUGCUAGUAAAAUUUAAA
ensembl:lncRNA